ensembl:lincRNA
UUCAGCUCUGGAGCCCUUGAAAUUGAGCUGCACCCCACAACUCUGUCUGUGCUGGGGCCAUCUUGGUGAACUGGCAGUUGUUCCCAGGCUCCCAGCUCUUUCCUGCCCAUCAUGCACCAUUUAGAAUCUGAUCUUUGGGCACCACCUUCUUAGCUAUCCCAUCCUCUGCCCCACGAGGAGGGGUCUCCCUUCCUCAGUCAGAUGUUUUGGCUUCUGUGAUGCAGAAUCAUGAGAACGGAGAGAAGACGAUUAAAGUCUGGACUCACCAGCAAGCCAGAGUUUCAAGGGACCCUGCUGGAGAUCACAGAGUCAAGGGCAGCUGUGACACCUGGCCCGACGCCUUUGCAGCUGCCAUCUCUGCGUCUUCUCAAAGGGUCAGCCACAGGCCCCAGAGGAAAGAAGAUGAACCCACGAGAGGGCCCCAGAACUCAGCACACAUCUACUGCAAGAUGAGAGCUGCGGGCAGGAACGCGGAGGCAUCAGAGCCAGGAUGCAUUUAAUAAGCAGUGUGACAAGGAAUAAAAUA